UCUCUCCCUACAGGUGUGGUUGGGGGUUUGUGUUGGUGACUAAAACCCCUCUCUCUCCCUACAGGUGUGGUUGGGGGUUUGUGUUGGUGACUAAAACCCCUCUCUCUCCCUACAGGUGUGGUUGGGGGUUUGUGUUGGUGACUAAAACCCCUCUCUCUCCCUCUACAGGUGUGGUUGGGGGUUUGUGUUGGUGACUAAAACCCCUCUCUCUCCCUACAGGUGUGGUUGGGGGUUUGUGUUGGUGACUAAAACCCCUCUCUCUCCCUCUACAGGUGUGGUUGGGGGUUUGUGUUGGUGACUAAAACCCCUCUCUCUCCCUCUACAGGUGUGGUUGGGGGUUUGUGUUGGUGACUAAAACCCCUCUCUCUCCCUACAGGUGUGGUUGGGGGUUUGUGUUGGUGACUAAAACCCCUCUCUCUCCCUACAGGUGUGGUUGGGGGUUUGUGUUGGUGACUAAAACCCCUCUCUCUCCCUCUACAGGUGUGGUUGGGGGUUUGUGUUGGUGACUAAAACCCCUCUCUCUCCCUACAGGUGUGGUUGGGGGUUUGUGUUGGUGACUAAAACCCCUCUCUCUCCCUACAGGUGUGGUUGGGGGUUUGUGUUGGUGACUAAAACCCCUCUCUCUCCCUCUACAGGUGUGGUUGGGGGUUUGUGUUGGUGACUAAAACCCCUCUCUCUCUCCCUACAGGUGUGGUUGGGGGUUUGUGUUGGUGACUAAAACCCCUCUCUCUCCCUCUACAGGUGUGGUUGGGGGUUUGUGUU